UCUAUGCAAGGCUCUAGAAGAAUUUCUGGGCUCUCCCUCCAAUGAGAGUACAAAAGUCUUUUUAUAGGUAUUAGGAGGGAGAAGUUUUACAUGAUUUUCCGAUGUGGGACUAAAAAAAUACAAAUCUUUCAAAAUAUUUCUAAAUAUUAUUUUUUUCCUUAUUUUGAACAUGUUGCAGUGCGCCCACACCCGCGUGAGCCGCGUCUCGCAUCCGCGCCCUGCAUCCAAACCGCGUCAGCUUCCCGCGUCCCGCGUCCGUGCGCUGCGUCCAAACCGCGUCCCUGCGUCCACGCCAGCUUCCUUUUGUUUUGAAUUUCAGAUCAAACCGCCCAGAGCCUUUGAAAAAUCGCCCAGAGCCUUAUUCACACGCCCAAAUCCACGUGAAACCGCCCAAAGCCAAAAAAUUCACGUGAUCCUUUUUUUUAUAUUCCAAAAAGAAACAAAAAUUUCUUCAUAAUGACAUCUAUAUCCUUUUUAGAUUUCUUGCAUAGUAUCUUCAUUUUCUAUAAUACCGGAUGCGUCUUUCUUUUAUUUUAAUUUUAUUUUAAAUCCAAUUUUCUUCAAACUUGAGUCUUUUUGAUCUAUGAAUUGGACUCUUUGUAUCGGCGAUCACCUUUCCUGUAAAACAUAGAAAGAAACAUCAAAUUCUUAAUAAAUAAGAUAAAUUAAAUAUAAUUUUUUUAAUUUAAAAUACUUAAAUUAAGUGUUUAUCAGUUUCCAUGACAUGAAGGUCUUGCCGACACAGCAAUCAACAUGGUCCACUGUAGCCACUUAGCCCACCAUAGCCAACUGGGACAAUUCUCUGCAAAAUCUAACAUGGCUCAUUGUAGUGAUGGGUGAUCUACUAUAGCCAACUGAGGUAAUUUUUCAAGAAAUCUAACAUGGCCCAGUAUAGCCAAUCGGGGCAAUUUCUAAGAAAAUCUAUAACCAUAGGUGGCCCACUGUAGCCAUCCACAGCAAUCCUUCAAAAAAUCUAACAUAGCCCACUAUAGCCACAAGUGGCCCAUUAUAGCCACAUGGCUUAUUGUAGUCAAUCGGGACAAUCUCCCAACAAAUCCAAUGUGGCCACUAUAGCCACGAAUGGCCCACUAUAGCCAAUCGUGGCAAUCCCUUCGAAAAUCUAACAUGGCCCACUAUAGCCACAUGGCCCAUUAUAGCCAAUCGGAGCAAUCCUCUGAAAUUUCAAUGUUGCCUACUGUAGCCAUGGAUGACCCAUUAUAGCCACAUGGCCCACUAAGGCCAACACAGAUUAAUCCCCUAGAGAUCUUAUAUUGCCUACAGAAACCAAUGACGAUGAUAUAAGAAGGGUUAACUCACUUAAAGACCCUACUUGAAGAAAAAGAGAAGACAUGAAAAAACACCUCAAAGAAAAAUUCAAGAGUACUUCAUUCAAAAAGUUUGUGUACACUACGGAGAAGCUCAUUACAAGUCAGUCGAGCGAGGCUCGUGGAGACAAAGAAAGAAGACAUAUAAAACUCGGGCCCAACUAGUGCCCUUAAAGCACAAACUGAGCCCCAGCCAAUGCGACCCCAGAAAAAGAGUGCAGGACUCUUCAUUUUGCGAUGCUCACCAACCCUCUCUAAAGGAUAUCAGUGAUAGCAGGGGAGCUUCCUUUUUAGAAACUCAUUCGCCUUUACAAUGUACCUCUGAGGAAGGCUACACUAGGCAAAAGAAGAAACAGACUCUCUAGAAAGGCCCAAGAUCUUUCUGUGGAGGAUAAUGUAUUAGGAGUCCCCAGGCAGCCGUCAUCGUAGUCGGAGCUGCGGGAUUUUUCAAUAUGUCCCAUGCCAAAGUAGGAUGCUCGAUGAAGCAUCCUCCGGAAGCACUCUGCAAUUGAUCGAAGGCAUAAAGGAGAUCUCCCAAAUCGGAGGAGAGCACUAGUGACUCUGGCACUAGACCAGGUGACACCACCUCAACAUUGUAGGAGGCAACUGAGGAGAUGCCAAUCCCAAGCGACAGAAUCUCUACUUAUAGAGGGAGCAGACCUAGACAAAUUCGAACGCCCCAUUAAUCGCAUGACAAGUAUCGCCCCUCGAAAGGUCUCAAAGAUCGUGCUCCCUAAGGAGUAGGUGCAGGCAUUAAAUGUGAGGCCCGAUUAGGUCUCCAGAUUAUAUGGUCCUCUAUCGCACAACCUCGAGAUGAAUCUUCCUUAAUUUGCUGAAAGUGAUACGACACCAAUCAAUAUUCCGCACUCGACGCGCACACAAGCCCAUAAUUUUUAAAAGUUUAUUCUUGACAUACUGUAGAAGCAAGUGCUUCAGACAAGGUCAAUGGAGAUCUUGACUUAAAUGUGGAAACCGAUGCUGCUAACCAAUCCGAGCCAUUUGAAUCCUUGACUAAGGCAAAAAGCUGACCACACCAACAUUACAAAGAAGUAAAAGACAUCAUGUGAGAGAUAAAUGUAAUGAAAAUAUAUCUUUUAUUAACUAAAAAUCUAUUUAUAGAUGUUCACCAAAGGAAAGGUGCCAAAAAAUAAAUACAAAAGGAUGGACAACUAGUCUUCAUCUAAGGAAAAUGCUCCAACCUCCUCAUC
rnacentral:lncRNA from 1 species